CUCCCAGACCCUCCCACCUCCUGGACAGCAUCGAUGUUGAGCCUUCAACAUGGAUGCUGUCCAGGAGGUGGGAGGGUCUGGGAG